UAUAGGAAUUAAUCUCACUCUAGAUAGCAGUAAUUAUAUAUUAGAUAUUUUGAACUCCAAUGCAUAAAAUCAAUCAUUACAUUGAACAAUUAGAUCAACUCACUUUUUUGGGUGACUACCAAACAGGGCCUUGAGUAUAAAAUAAACAUGCAAGUCUAAUUGUUAUGAAUCACUCCUCUGACAUGGUGGUGUAUUGGUUUCUCUGUUGCAGGUGAUGUAACAUCGAUGGACGCCUACUUGAUAAAGUUCUUCCCAGUCGUCUAUCGAAAGACCAAAGAUCUUGGUUUGGACAGCCAUUACUGCAAAUACGACAACCACGGCCUUCAGCUAUUGAUCACAUCAUCGUUGUAUCUGGCUGGCUUGAUUUCGUCCUUCUUCGCAUCCUACACCACAAGAAACCUCGGUCGGAGGCUGACCAUGCUUAUUGCAGGGAUUUUCUUCAUCAUUGGCGUGGUGCUAAAUGCAACUACCCAGAACCUUGCCAUGCUCAUUAUAGGAAGGAUCUUCCUGGGGUGUGGAGUCGGCUUCGCUAAUCAGUGUCAUUACUAAGAUCAAGAUUCACGGAUUUUUGGUGCAACAUAAUAUCUACAAGUCUGAUAAUUCAGUGUUGAAUACAUGCUGAUAUUUCAUUGGCAGUUUCAAGUUAUUUUUUAAAAAUCUUUUUCUUUUCUUUUGUUUUUGUUGAUUGGUAGGUAAACAAGGUUCAAAUCUGAGACCUCAAUGUUGAAAUGCACCCUGUCUACCAUUGAUCUACUGGCUCAAAUUCUUGCAGUUUUGCUACCAUCUAUUUUUUAUUUUCUUGCUGGUAAGAUCUUUUUUCUGAUUGUUGUGGAUGCUUAUAUUCCUUCUUGUGGCAGGUUCAGCUGCACAGUAUCGUUCCUUGGUAGUUAGCUAAUUUGAAUCUACAACAAGUUGCUGGAAAUAGCAGCUAUGUUGAUGUUGAAUUCAUCGAUCCUGUGAUUAUGGCCGUUGGCAGAGGAAAGCUUCCACUGCCGAUGACGCACCAGAUCUCUCCCAACUACAGCUCCAUCAUGUUGGCUGAUUUCUCUGAGAUGGACCAGAGGCUUCAGUUGUUGCAGUCAAGAUCUAGUAAUCUGAAUUAGAAUCCAGUGAUGACGGUUGAUCAAAGCUUCAGUUGUUGAAUUCUUUUUUUUUCCCCAGAUUUCUAUUUCAAAUAGAAACUAAAAUUUCAAUUUGAAAAGUCGGUGUGAUUCUCAUGUUUUUCUCCAUGAGUUGUUACCUUAUGAGAACAAAAAUGCAAGCCAUUUGAUCAAUGGCCACUGAAUAUGCAUAGGUUUAUGAAUGGGUUAAAAUAAAUGAUUUA